CAAACCUUUUCCCAAAUAUGCACACAUGAACAUAGGCAAUUAGUCCAUUAGCCAUAAAAACGUAACUUUUUUUUUUUUUUUUUGCACAGUUGAACACUUAACACACACACACAUAUAUAUAUGUUCACUGACUACAUGCAUAAUGUGUGUCUUUGUGUUUAAAAUUAUUCUAAAUAUGACCAAAACCAACUCGUUAUUGCUCGUGUUAAAUGGACUUUCUGCAGCGCACUUCUUCUGGCAAGACCUUGGUCACUUAUAACCAGCACAGCAGUAAAACUUUUGCAUGAGGCGGACAGAAAACCAUCUUGAUGUGCGACUGCAGAGCAGUUACAUGAACAGGCAUGCUGCGGCUUGUUUGGUCUCACUCUUCUUCACAUUGGAAGCUUAUCCACCUUUGGGCGCAGAGGCCUUCACAGACCACCUUUACUUCACCUGGACUGUUACGAAGCUCUGUAAGGCAGAUCCUCGUAUCCAGAUUUAUCCAGAUUCUCAGCAGCUCAGAACUUCUAAUGGUGUGUUCUAUUUGGGCAAGGGCUUUAAAUUAUGGUGUUUUCAGGUGAAUUUAUGAUGAUGGAACUCUCGGGUGUCUGUAUGACAAAGAGAAAGAGAAAAGCAUUUAGUCUGUGCAUUACCAAGUCAAUUGUGUGCUUGACUGGCGAAACGCCUGGCUGAUCAUUUUUAAUGGAGGUUUCUGUGGCAGAGUGACUGUAGUCAGCUCUUAUCAGUCCCAAAGAUCUGACUGAGUAGUCCAUAUCUUUGGGUAAGCUUUCAAAUGGAGCAUCCUGGGCUGUGUAUUUGAACUGUGAUCUUUUCCCAAAACCUGAGUAGUUUUCUUGCUUAGACCUCCAUGUAUCAGACAAUACAAUAGAAAUAGAGGUAGUCAGUAAGUGAAAGUACAUUUAAAAUAAAAAGUCCAAAAGACAUGCGUCAAACAAAAUGACUGUGUUGAAAGUCAUUUUUCGCAUCGUGAUUUCUUUGGACUGUUAUAAAAGCAUACAUCUUUUAUAACUUUAUGAAAACAAGUAUUUGGUGCACAAGUUUGAAUUCAUUUUGGACUUUCUCUAAUCCACACCGUGUCAGAAUUAUACAUGCAUGCUCCAAUAUAUAGAUCAACCACCCCUAUUAAUAUUAAUGUAAAUGUCCUUUAGCCACAUAAACCAGGUGCUUUCCAUAGCCAAGAACCGUCUUAUGGCUGGAUAUUUGAACCCUCUUCUUGGCUGAACUGGUAGAGAGUCAUUCGUCUCAAAUUCUGUAGAAUUUUAGCUUUAAAUAUCACACAUACUUUACAUACUACAUACUGACAUUUUCAGUGGCCUUUCUUACCAUCAAAAUAAACCUGGAUCUAUAAUUUGGGACAGGUACAUUAAAAAAAAUGUCUGCGUGCUUGCUAGUUGAAAAUAUGGAAAAAAAAAGUGUCUGAUAUUUAAACAGACACUAGUAAAAAAAACUUGUAAAAGUCAGCUAGUGAUCAUCUCUGAUCAACAGCCUUAUUAAAUGCAGAGUAGUUUGGGCCCAGAAGCAGGAUUCAACAUGUCAUCACUUAAAGACCAGAUACAAUAGAAACAGAGGUGAGAGUCAAGUUACACACACAAAAAAAAAGCCAGUCAAAAUGAAUGCAAAGUCCAAGAGACAUGCAUCACACAAAAUAUCUGUGUUGUGUCAUGUGGCCUAAAUCUUUUUUCACAUCGUAGACAAAGAUGUUGUGGAAAUUUGGGGACUCCUGCAGAGACCCAUAUUUGAACAGACACAGUAAAAAAAAACUUGCAAAAGUCAGCUGGUGAUCAUUUCUGAAUGGUGUAUUACUGAAUUUCACAAUAAUGCAAAAUAAAACAGGUAGAUUAUUUUUCAACAUGAAAUUGUUAGUCACACAAAAAAAGAAAAUGCUACUUUUGUCUAACUUUCAUCGUUUUUUUAAUCAGCUCCUCACAAAGGAAAAUUAACCCAGUGAUCUGUGCGUUUCUUCCCAGCAGAGAGAAGUCCAGUAUCGAGCACAUAAGCAGGCCCAGUUUUGUUUUGUUUUUUAACCUACAGUUGGUGGAAAAAUAGAUUUUUGUAGUUACAGCUGGACCUCUGCUGACAAAAAAAAAAAAAAAAAAAAGAACACUUAGUGGGAACAAAUAUCAAAUCAGUCAAGGCUGUGUUUCCAUUCAGGUCUUGUCUGGUCUCAUCAGUCAAGGAAACCACAUGUGUGAAAUAUUAAGUCUUUUAAAGGCACCGUUUAUGAAAGUAGUAGUACAGUAAAAAUUACCAUUAAUAAAUUGGAACCCUCUUCAACAUCUGUGGGAAAUGGGUUUUGCUAAAAAGAGAAGAAAACAAUACUGUUAAAGCAAAAACACCCUGAACAGGGUUUAACACAAAGUUGACUCUCCACAAAUGUUAAGAAACAGAUAAAUCACUUCUGUUGUUCUUAUUAAUGAAAUGUAAUAUCUAAGUAAGACUAUCAAAUAACUGCAAGUUUAGUUGUAUCCUAAUCCUCUGUGCUUCAGUUACAGUGAGUUAGCAUCCACAUUCUACAAAAAUA
ensembl:lncRNA